ACGUCGUUUCUCAUAACAAAAAGCCGAUGUCGUUUUAUUAAUCCAUGCAUGCAACAUCAUUUUAAUCAGCCACCUAUAUCAUUUGCUUUACCUACGAACAUAAUGUCGUUUCGUUAAAGAAUUUAAAUGACAUCAUUUACUUUACGUAUAAAUACGAUGUCGUUUUAAUUGAUCAUAUAAACGAGAUUGUUUUGAUAACAACUUUAAAAGACUGUC
rnacentral:lncRNA from 1 species